ensembl:lncRNA
CUAUAAAUCAUUCCCUUUCACCUCUUGUUCUUUGCCUCCAUCUCUCUUCCCUUCUUACCUGUCGUUCUUGCUUCCCGCCUCAUUUAUCUCAUAUAAAUCGUCAUUGUUACGGCGCUCUAUAAAAGAACUUUGGGUACGAUUCUCUGUCCCACCAUAAGAAAAAGGACCUUUUUAGUAACUUAAGGAACAGAGCUGCUCCUCGUUGCUGCAGCUCCUCCUGCACCCUGAUGUCCAACCUGCGACUCACAACUAACCUCCUACCUGCCGGCUGUACGCGUGUGCAUGUAUGUGUGUGUGCGUGUGUGUGUGUCCAUACCUUUUUUUUACUGUGCGCAGCCACAAGGUUUGUGGAUGCGUGUUCUACUUUAUGUAUGUGUGUGCAUGUGUGUCGUGGUGCAGCAGGAAUGGGGGUCUCGCUCUGACGCCCCUGUGUGUACUCAUUCAACACAGAGGUCGUGUGUCAGGGGUCAAAGGGUCUGUGAGGGGGAAGGGUGUGUGUGUGCGUGUGUGUGUGUGUGUGUGAGGGGGGGUACAUGCCCCAAGGUAGAUAGACUAUCUUAAUUGGCCUCUAGAGACUUCAGGGAACGUGUGUGUGUUUCAAAGUAUGUGAGUGUAUGUGAAGAUAAACCUUUCUCUUUACGGAUGGGAUGUGAGAUGAUGAUGAUGAUGAUGAUGAUGAUGAUGAUGAUGAUGUCCAGUCCAGUAGGUGAUUUGAGGAGUGAUACCAUGAUGAUGGGACAGUUGUUCCAGUUAACCAAUCGCAGGUGAACAAAACGAAACAACUUGUUAACAACAAAUAACUCACCUUUAAAAUGUAUCUUUCAUGUUUUCUAACUCGUGUCUUGUUCAUUUUUUGUUACUGUGAAUAAGCAACAAAAAUAGUUUCCAUUCUGGGGAUUGGUAAAGUUUCAUUUAAUUUCAAGAAACAAAAACGUGAAGGUGAGGCAGUUGAUGAAGAAGAAACUAAAUAUAAAGAACCAUAUUGAUCAAAAUAAAUGAAAGGAGAUUAUAAGAAACUGCUUUUGAAUUAGACCAUUAUUUGACACUUUAGUGCUUGAUGUGUUUGAGUGCCUUACAUUUUCAAAGAGCAUUGAAAGCUAAACGUGUACAAUUAUUCUCCACGUUCUUUGUAUCUUUUCUUUGUGUGUGUGUGUGUGUUUGUGUGUGUGUAGGCCGCCGUGGUCUUGUUUGCUCAGGGAGAGUCAGUCUUGUGCCCUGCGACCACAUUAUCCACCUAUUAAAGUCCUGCAACUAUUUACCUUCCUCCUCUGAGAGGGCCGGGCCGUGUCCGUCUGAUGAAAGGCUGCAGAGUGUCUGUUUCACUCGACGCUCGAGAGACGACGACGACGGCGACUACAGUCGCUGAGUGUUGGCAGAGCAAACAUUCCUGAGCACCCAGGAUCUGACAAACACACACACACACACACACAGACACAAUGCAGAGGAAUGACACACACACACACACAUCUUUUGAUAUAAAGAGGACUCUUGAAUACAAAUAAAAAAACGCAUUUAAACACAUGAUGGAAAAAUAGAAGGAAUUGAGUAAGAUUAGCCUCCCAAUUCCACACCGCAUAGUAAAAGUAUUCAAUUCUCUGUGGUAAUUGUCACAUAGAGCAUAGCUGGGUUUUGUUGUCAAAAAUAAUGUACGUAAGUUUCUACUGAGGAGGUGAUGCUGUACAGGUGCUGAAGGACGCCAAUCAAACCGCCACUGUCAAAUUAACCGUACAAAAAAAACCCCAUAAAGAUGCAAAUAUGUUUGUUGUUUUUGCCUCGACACAUUCAACCAUUUAUUUGAACUUUUUCUGACCGUUUGAUCUAUUUCCUGUGUGCAUUGCAUUGUGUGACACACUUCAAUAGCGCAUUGACAAAUGAAGUGGACGUCACAGGUGAACCAUCGAUUAUGAUCUGGAGAAAUACGACCGAUGUUCAUUUUAAAGAUUUAGAGAUUUAAAGAAAGAUUAAUGACGAGCCUUGCUUACUACCAACUUUAAAGUUGCGUUGUCAUAAAACAGCAAAAUAGACCUAAACUUAACCCAGGUUUCUUGGACAUUCUUGUCAUCACAACCCACACUUAAAUUCACACACACACACACACACACACACACACACAUGGACAUGCCCUGGCCUGCUGUUGCUGUUGUCCGAUGGUGGUAAAGCUGUUCUCUGGCAACGGUCAAACACGCAGCGGAGCAGCCCAGACUGACGGGUUCAAUAUUUGCUGGUCCAGAGAGGAGGCGUGUGGAGACCGCAGGGGUCACGAGGUCAGCGGGGAACGACUGACCGGCAGGUGAACAAACAGAGGCUGCAGCGGAGGAGGAGCCCGAUGAUGACAUGAUGGGAUGCCACAGAGACAUGGGUUCCACUCCGAAAGUUUGGUUUAGUUUUAACAUAUUUACAGAUUCAAAACAGGCUCCAACUGUUUUGGGAAUAAAUACAUUCAGAGACAGGAAAACAUUUGGGGUUUUUAUUUCUCUCCUGCUCGAGUGAUUCAUCUCUACAUCAUGAAAUCAAGGGCAGAUAUUCCAUAGAAAAUGCUUUUUGAGCCGGAGCUCACUUAGCUCACAAUCUUCUCAAAUCUUCUUAUCUUAUUUUCCGCAAAGGUCCUGUGAAAGAACUUGCUUUGUGUGUAAAGCAAAUGAGCAAGAAUUCCUGACAACGCUGAAUACGUAACGUGGCAAUGCGCUCGUCUUAAUCUGAGUCAGUCGGGCAGUUUGAAAAUGUAAAAGUAUUCUGCGAAAAACACCCGGCUAUUCAUUCAGAUAAGCCUGUUUGACUGUCUAAGUCCAAAUACGCAUGUAAAACAGGCGUGUUGGAAAAAGGCUAACCUAAUUAAAAGUAUAAGCUCUGCGAAAAUCAGAUCAGGACUUCCUGAAAGGAGACAAAAGCUCACAACUUGAUCACUUCUCCAUGCCUGUUGUCAUUUCUGCUGCGCUACAACAAACGAUUGUAGCAGCCUCGCCUCAAACAUUCCCGCCCGGCAUCACUGCGUGUUUGCUUUUGGUUUUAGCGCCUGCUAAGACACUAUUGAUGGCCAGUCAAGUAAUGUCACCAGACCGUUUUCGGUCCGACAUCACUGUGGCACUUAGGCGAUGAAAGCCGGUCCUCAGAGUCCCCCAUCCGGCAACAAGUGCAGCCCCCUGUCAGCGCCACUCGGCGGGAGGAGACGGAUCAGCCUGACUGACGUAAGUAGUGUGGACAGAUACAAUUUCAGCCUGGCAACGCGGCCAGAUCUGGCAACCCUUCCCUGUGUUUACCUAAAGGCUAAGGCGGCUGAGCCCAGACCUCACCUGCUGGCCUCACUGCUCGCCAUGAAUGCUGACAUAAUCCCACCAAAUCCAUGCAAACCCGGAGCCGCUUCUUGUGCUAAAAACUCAGUGUCCCUCCCACUCGGCGAGGCCUCCACUCGAUUCAGAAACAGUUUGUGCGAACGGUCAGUUUUUCCAUGGCAACUUUGCAUCCAUUCUGCAGAGGAAAGUUCCCACCCUCUCUGUUGUUACACACACACCCCUUUCAUUUCCUCACCCACUUUUUUCUGCAUUUUAUCACUCAAGUCACACUUUCUCUAGUUGCCAUCUUGGGGAGUCCGGCGUGGCUUCAUUGUUUUUGUAAGGGUUCAGGCCGCAGGCUCAACUCUUUAGUACCUACAUUUGUCUUUUACUUGUCUCCAGUACAUUUUAGCAACAGUUCAUUUUGCAAGUUUACAAUCAAAUUAUUAACAAAAAAAAUUAUUUGCCGUUGUUUUUUUUUAUUUGCCUUAGUUUGGCAUCAUCAUGCACACUGUCUACAUCUGCACAACAUUUUACUGACAACAGAUAAUACAAUAUUUAUAUUAGAUAAUGUUCUUCUUUGAGGAAGAACCCCAUCAAAAAGAU